UACGUAGGGUGCGAGCGUUGUCCGGAAUUACUGGGCGUAAAGAGCUCGUAGGUGGUUUGUCGCGUUGUUCGUGAAAUCUCACGGCUUAACUGUGAGCGUGCGGGCGAUACGGGCAGACUAGAGUACUGCAGGGGAGACUGGAAUUCCUGGUGUAGCGGUGGAAUGCGCAGAUAUCAGGAGGAACACCGGUGGCGAAGGCGGGUCUCUGGGCAGUAACUGACGCUGAGGAGCGAAAGCGUGGGGAGCGAACAGGAUUAGAUACCCUGGUAGUCCACGCCGUAAACGGUGGGUACUAGGUGUGGGUUUCCUUCCUUGGGAUCCGUGCCGUAGCUAACGCAUUAAGUACCCCGCCUGGGGAGUACGGCCGCAAGGCUA
rnacentral:rRNA from 1 species